AAUUUGACCUUAAAGUAUGAGAGUGAGCAUAAAUUUGAUCCCAAAAUAUGAUGUGGAAAUUCUGUUUCUGAUAAUUGAACACCAUUAUAAGUACAUUUAAUAUGCAUUUCUCUAUUCCAUUCCUGCAAAUCCUCAGACCAUUCAGGAAGUUGCAAGAAUAACAUACGCCCGAGAUUUUUGGCUAUUAUCAAUGAAGGUAAUACAACAUAUUUUCGAAGAAUUGAUUGAGUUAUUAACAUGUAACCUCUUAUUAUUUGCGCACAAAGAAUGUUAUCCCAGGCUUCUGCUACCGCUAGCCGUGCUUUUUCCUUUCUGGUGUUCUCCUUUUUUUUGUCCUUUUCUUUUUUCUCUUCUCUUUUUGUUUGUUCUUCUUUAGACUCUAGAAUCUUGAAUUCUCCCUCUUUACCUGUCCAAUUUCGAAAAAUGGUUUUAAUCAGUCAAGAGAUAUCAAAAGAAAAAAGACGGGGGGGGGUUAUUCUGUCGAUAAAAAGGUGGGAAUGCGCAUUUGCUUGAAAUAGUUUCCAAAUAACUGUUUUUCGCCUUUGAGCCCGCAUAGAGCCUGUAAUUAUACCUCGCCGAAAAUCGGAUUGUUGCGAAGAAAUAAAAUAUUUUUUAUAAGCCAUUUUUUGGUUUCUUUUGAAACUCUUCGAAAUAAUUUUGUUUUUCCUUUUAAAACUUUUCGAGUUAUAGUUAUAAAAGUUAUAAAAUAUUUCUUUUUAAAUUUUCCAAUUUUUUUUUCGAGUGAUUUAACCAAUUUUUUAAAGCAGACGAGUAAAUUUGAUCUUUUGCCUUUCUCAAUAUAUGUUAACUGAAAAAAAAAUUAUUUAAAUUUCACUCAUGUCAGAGUGAUCCAAAAAGAACAAGUGAUUAUACAUAACUAGAGCCUGAUCUGCAAUGAAAUAUGAGAAAAUUGAGUCAUUCAUCUAUGAGGUUUGAGCACCUUUUAUUUGCAAGGUCUAAGCAUCAUUUAUGGCCAUGCGUUUCCAAUUUUCAGGAAGUAGCUCUUUCAGAAUUCUUGACGACAGCGGAAGCAAAAAAUACAAAUUCAGAGUUACCCAAGAAAGGAGUUUUGAAAUCAAAAAAGAAAUUGAAGCAGGAAAAGAUAGAGCUUUAAAUCUUCACUCGAAGUUCUAAUACCACAUUGUUGAAUGUGUUAAGAGACUGAAUUAUUUACAUGUUGUAGAAAGAAGAAGCAAAUGAUAAGUAAGAAAGAGAAAAAAGAAAUUAAGAAAAAGAUCGAGUAUUGAAUUGUGUCUUGAAUGAGUACAAAUACUGUUUAAUAUGGGCAAGUCAGUUGGCUAAUUAAUUAAGUUUUAAUAACUUCUCAACUAAAUAACCGUCCUAACUAAAAUGACUGUAAUUACCUUGGCUGCUAAUUUAUCUGAUCGAAUCCAAGUAAUUGAGCACAAUAAUAUAGUGGAAUAGCUUGUAUAUAAGGAUGUUCCAAAUAAGAAUAACAUUGAUGCAUUCUUGAUGAAUUAAACUUUGAUAAUUUUACAUAACUCUUUUAAACAUGUUCAAUACAUACUAGCACUACUGGAAAUAAUAAAAAUUGGCCGCCUUUUUCCUCUCUUUUCUUGCACUCGUGAUCUUAUUCAAUGGGAAAAAGAAACUUAGACAUAUUUUGACAUUUGCACUUAUUUCAUAUGUGUAGUCGAUAAUUAGGAAUCGCCAUUAGAUGUUGUGCUCUGGCCGUUACUAAACCAAAUUUCUCAGUGAUGUCAAUAUCCUUCGGCAUCAUGCCAUUCGGCAACUCCCAGUUAAAGCAGUGAACCAAUUGAGCGACCAUCAAGCGAACAACGGUGAGCCCUAGCUGCAAACCAGGACAACUUCUUCUACCGGAACCAAAUGGUAGAAGUUGAAAAUGUCGUCCGCGCAGAUCUAUAUUGCUUCCUUGAAAUCUCUCAGGUUUGAACUUUUCAGGCUCGACCCAAGUGUCUGGAUCUCUGCCAAUUGCCCAAAUAUUGAUUAAUACUCGGGAUCCCUUAGGUAUGUGAAAGCCAUCAACCGUGCAGUCUUCAAUUGACUCGUGAGGAAGCAAUAAGGGUGCAGCAGGAUGGAGUCUGUUACUUUCUUUUAUGACCAUAUCUAAAUACUCUAGGCUUUCUAAGUCUGACUCUUCCACCAUUCUGUUUUUACCAAUGACUUGUUCCAACUCAUUCUGCACUUUUUUCAUCACAUUGGGGUGCCUUAAAAGUUCUGUUAGGAUCCAAUCAAUUGUUGUUGAUGAAGUGUCCAUAGAUGCUAUCAGCAAGUCCUGUAUAUACAUGUCAUAUUCUUUACCUGUUAAACUCAUAAAAUACUUAAAAUUGAAGAACCUAAAAUUUGCAGUCUACAAUCAAAGAUAAGGAGCAAAGACAUAUUGACAUAUUACAUACUAUAUUGGAAAACCUAAAAUUAUUAUUAUCAUUUUGGUACCUCAAAGUUACAGCUGCCACAGGAGUAGAGACUGAUAUUACUUCCUAAUUCCAACUUAUAUGAGACAAGUUUAUUUUUUGUUCGUUAAAAAAAUGUUAAGUGCCUUUUAUUAUUAGAAAUAAAUUAAUCUUGAAAUUUCUCUUCUACUAUUUAUAGUUAUACAAAUAAUUAAAAAGUGUUAUAUGAUCACAAAUUUCAAAAAUCAUAUUUUUUUUAUAAAUUUUAUAGUAAAUCAAAUUAUAUCACAUAAAUUAUUGUGAAGAAAAUAUUUUUAUUCACAAAAUAACAAACGCAACUUUUUCAUUGAUUUUUCUUUUUUACAGAACUAGAACUGUUUCAUUGAUUGCAUGUUGAAAAAGUGAAACAGAAAACUGUCGAGAGACAAUUCACGUGUCGAGAUUUUUAAUACUAAAUUCAGAAAGCAACAAUUUCACUAGUUAAAAAGGAUAAUUUUAAGCCAUGUUUAUGAUGUAUUUGACUUACUGAAUAAUAUAAUAUCUGUGAUUUAAUGAAAAGAAGAAAAUAUCAAGAAAUAAAAACCUAAUUGAUAUAACAAACAUGAUUUAAGAUUCAAAGUUAAUAUGCAAUAAUAAAUGAUUUUGCAAUUAAAGUUUAAUAUUUUUUUUAAAUAUAUAUAGAAUUUGAUAAAAGUUAUUAAAUUAACAAUAUUCUAGGUUUGCUCCACCUACCAAUACACCAUCGAACUCUUCCUGACCUUAUUUGUUUCCAUAAAGAUUAAGAUGCUUGAAUUUAAAUACAUAUUUGAAUAAUUAAGAUGUUUAUAGAUCUUAACAGAAAAUUAUUAAGGUUAAUAGUUAUUUUUCAACAUCUGAAUAUGCAUAACUUAUUUAUCUAUAAUCAUAAUAAAUAUAUAAUUUAGAUAAUCAAUUAAUCAAAUAAAAAAAAAUAUUAAUUUAAAAAUAAGAUCUUUAUUUGAUUACAAAUAUGAAAUAUUUAUAUUCGCUAGUAAUAUUGAAGAUGAUUUGUAUUGAUGAUGGAAUUGAUAGAAGGUAAAGUUAGUAGUUAGAAAUGGUGAUGAUGAUAGUUGUGAAAGUGGAUAUGAUUGGUAUUGUAGCGACUAUCAUGAUGAUGAUGAUUGAUAGCAGUGAUGAUAGUUAUAAUGGUGGAGUUGAUUGAUGCUAGUAGUUGACAAUGUUGAAGGUGAUAGGUGAUGACGUGUGGUGGUCGAAGUUGGUAGUUGAAAUUGAUUUCAAUAGCUGAUAGUAAUGGUUGUGGAGGUGGUGACAAUGGAUAUAAUUUCAAUGGAGGUGGUAAGAAGUAGUGUUAAUUAUUUGCAUUUAAAUAUAUAUUUGAAUAACUAAAAUGUUUCUAGAUUUGAAUAUGUAUAACUUAUUUAUCUAUAAACACAAUAAAAAUAUAAUGUAAAUAAUUAAUUAAUAAAAUAAAAAAAUAUUAAUUUAAUAAUAAGAUCAUUAUUCGAUUACAAAUAUAAAAUAUUUAUAUUCGCUAGUAAUGAUGAAGAUUAUUUGUAUUAACGCUGGUGAUGAUAGACUGUAGUGUUAGUAGUUAGCAAUGGUGAUGAUUAUAGUUGUGCAGUGGGCAUGGUUGGUGUUGUACCGAAAGCCAUGAUGAUGACGAUUGAUAGCAAUUAUGAUAAUUAUAAUGGUGGAGUUGAUUGAUACUAGUAGUUGGCGGUGUUGAUGGUGGUAGUUGAAAACUUGUGGUGGUUGAAGUUGGUAGUUGAAAUUGGUUUCAGUUGAUGAUAGUAAUGGUUGUGGAGGUGGUGACAAUGGAUAUAAUUUCAAUGGUAGAGAUUAUAGAUAGAUUACUGGUUAGUAGUGGUGUUGAUCGUCACGGUUGUAGGUGGUUCCUGGUGGUUGAUUAUGGUGGUCCUAACCAAGGUAGUUAGUGGUAGUGACAGAAGAUUGUCGAUGGAGUGAUGACGAAUAUUCUCCUAAAUAAGAAUACCUUUUUUGAUAUUAAGAUUUUAUUCUGGAUCUUAUUGAGUAAGACAUAUUAAAUGACUAAAUCUUAAUGAAAAUAAAUUCACUUAAUGAUUUAACUAAGGUCUCAAUCAUUCAAAUUCAAACCUCCAUUAAAUCUAAACAAAUGAAGCUUCUGUCAAAUUAUGUGAUAUAAUUCGAAUCAACACAAAAUUUCAAAAACAAAUAAAGAGUUUUAAAAUUUGUAAUCUUAAACAUAUAUCAUAGCAUUAAUGUGACUGUAAAAUUUUUGAAACAUAUAUCCUUAAACCUAAUACUUCCUUUGUCUCACUUUAUGUUAAGAUAUUCAGAUUGCAAUUGCAAAACACUUAAUAUAAAUAUAUAUGUAUGUAUCCGUCAAAUAUUUUAAAAUAAAUUUUACAUAUUUGAAACUAUAUGAAACAAAUGAUACAAGUCAACAUAGAUAAUAGUUAUAAAUUGAGAUAUGACACAAGUACACCUCACCCAGUCCCCUCUCCCCUCCUUCCACCCAAAAUAUACUUAAAAUUGCUAUGACACAUCUAAAUUUUAUUAUGAAUUUGUUUUUUUUAAAAUAUAUUUUUGUGCUCCUUUUUAUUGACAUGAUUGUUAAGUAGCAAAAUAUUUUUGUACUUAUUUUGUGUAGAAAAAAUAAGUUGGAGAGGGGAGUGGGGGGGGGGGGGGGGNNNNNNNNNNNNNNNNNNNNNNNNNNNNNNNNNNNNNNNNNNNNNNNNNNNNNAAAAGUGUUGGGGGGGGGGGGGUGGGGGGGGGGGAGAGGUAGUAGUAUCUCCAUAAAAUUUAUGUAUAUCAUAACAACUUUUGAUAUAAUUUAGGGAAUACUUAUAUCUUAUCUCUUAUAAAUAUUUAAAAUAAUUUUGAGAAAUUAUUGUUAGAAAAAUAAUUUAUUUGUCUCUCUAAACAAUAACAACUUCAUGUACAUAAAAUGGGAUGGGGAAAUAUAACGUGUGUAUGACAACAAUAUUCUUUUCAUGAUAAAAUGAGAAAAGUCCAAUUAAUUAUUUUCAAAUAUUAAAAUAUGUCCUUCUCUUUUUAUAAUAAACAACUUAGCAAAAAACGUAACCGUACAUAAACUGAAACGUUACGCUGAGAGCAUUUUAUUUUAUGUAAUGGACAUUAAGUUUUUAAUCAAUCUACAUAAGAUUGAAUACUUCUAUUUAUACAGAAAAAUGAUUUUACCUUGAAAUUUCUUAUUUUAUUAAUAAUGACGUGAGUUAAUAAUUAGAAUAUCUAUCUGGUGAGAAAGGAAGAGUUGUAUUAAUGAGUGGGGGAGGGGUGCCAGUUUUAUUUUGAAAGAAAAAAUGAUAAGAAAUAUAAUUUUUUAUUAAAAUAAUAAUAUAUUUAGUGUAUUCCUACAAAAUAGAUUCAAAGAAAGUAAAGUGAACCAAAUUUGUAUCACUCCCUUAAACAAAGUAUAAAAACUGUUUUUAAUAAACACUAACACAGAUCAUAAAUUUUUUUUUUUAAUUAAAAAUAUAAAAAUAUCGUAUCCCUCUUGUAACAAGAUGAUAAGAUAAAUACUACAAAUAAGGACCGUCUAGGGAGGAGGAAGGACAGUAUUCAUAGUUUUUGUUGUAAAAACCUAUUUAGAUGAAGUUGCAACUUGUGACUUAUACUUUCUAACAGCUGUAAAUUAGAAUUUCCAACAUAUAUUUUUUGACUUAUUUAUGUUAUUUUAGUUUGAAAAUAAAUUUUAACAAAUAAUUUUUAAUUUACAAACUCAAUAAAAAUAAUAAAAAUUAGUUCAACUUAAAAACACUUAAGUGAAUUCAAACAGGUUGUAAGGUUAUUAUCACUUUUUAGUGGAAAAAUAACUUGCAGGAUGUGCCUAAUAAUUUGAAGCACACAAAACGAACGCGAAUUGAGAGUGAACAAAAACAUUACCAGCAUAAUAGCUUUGACAUGGCGACGAUCGAACUCGAAUUCAGCCGCACCGGACUGCAGAAUCUCCAUCAGUGUAUCCACCAUAUCCUUUGCUUGUUUCUGCUCAUUGGAUUCACCAACAUGUUCGUCGAUUACUCUCUCCAAGAACUCGUCAAACAGUUUAGCUAAUUCUUUCACACGACGAUUAUAUCCCUGGAGAUCAAAUAUGCGAAGAAAAGGGAAAAAAUCAGAAAAAUUUGGCAAUGCUGCUAUAUGCAGCAUAUCUUGAAUUAUAGCUUUGAACCCCUUUUCGCCAAGAUCUUCGUCCAUGUACUUCUUUCCAAAUAUCAUCAAACAUGACAUGUUUGCACUGAGAGAACCAACUUUUGCAGUAAGAUCAACUACUUUGUGUUCCAUAGCUGCCUGUUUUACGAAAUUUAUAAGAAUCCCAAGUUCUUGUUUCCUCAUAGGCUGGAAAGCAAGGAUCUUGGCACUGCUUAGCAGCUGCAAAGUGCACAACUUGCGCAUGUUCCUCCAAUAUGGUCCGUAACGGGCCGAGACAAGAUUUUUCCGCUUGUAAAAAAUGUUUUCUGAUACUUGAUUAGAGGGUCUACUUGAAAAGGUUAAAUCAUGUGUUUUCAAGAAUUGUUCAGCAGCAUAAGGAGUGGAAGCAACUAUUACAGGAACAAGACCAAAAUGUAUGGACAUUAUAGGGCCAUGUUUCUUGGCUAUUUUGUUAAGGUCUUGGUGAAGAUUAUCUCCAAACAUGUGAAGAUUCCCAAGAAGUGGGAGCCCUCUUGGACCUGGAGGAAGUAUCUUCUUCUUCUUACUGAACUUCUUCUGUAGUUGUUGAAGAAGAAGAAAAACUAUGGCAACUACGGCAAGAGCUAGCCAAAGAAAAGCCAUGGUGUUGGUAAAUACCCUUUUUUAAUACUCAUUUAAUGUGGAAAUGCUAUUACUUAUAGGCUGUAGCUCUUUCUGGAACCAGUGGAAUUGUGGUUGAAAUGAAGUAGAGAUUGAUAGACUACAAGCCAAAAAGCCAAAAAAAUCAUACUCCAUUAAAAAUCAUAAUCUCUCCAUUUAAAUUUAUUUUUCUGAUUUCACAUCAAGUUUAAAAAAUAAUUACAAUUUUUAAAUUUUAUUGUCUCCGAUUAAAGAUUGGCAAGAUAUGUAAAAAAUCAAAUUAAAAAAUUGUCAAAAAGUUUUCAAAAAGUAAUAUAAACAAACUUAAAUGGAGAAAGUAUUUAUUAGAUGUUUUCAUUUUUGUUUUUUAAUGAAAAGGCCGCAUAUGCCGUGAAACAGGAGUGAGGGAAAAUUUUCUGGACACAUAUAUUCUCCAGUGAUAUUAGUGAUAUUAUUAUAUUUACCAAAAAUACCUUAGUUUUAAAUACUUGUAACAUACGUAUUAAGAAAUAAUAAAUAACAGAGGUAAUUUUAUUAUAUUUCUCUUUAAAUUUAAUAAAUGAGUGUCUUGAGAUAUGAAAUGAGUGAUGAAUAGUGUAAUAACAAGCGUAAAAAGGAUAGAAAAUAAUAAAUUAUUUAUUAAUUUUUUAAAUUAAAUAAAUAUUAUUAAAUAUUUAUUUUUAUUAUAAUGGACAAAUAUUCUUGAACAAAGAAUUAAUAAAAUUACUGCAAUGGCACGAAGUUAACUUUCCAAUCUGAGAGAAGACAAUCCUAUAUUUUUGCUGAUUUAUAGCCUGACAAUUUUUCUUUUUGCUCAGUCUCUCUCACCAACCAUCACCACACCUUCAAAAUUUAAGAACUCGUUGUAAUUGCUUGCAUUCUUAUUUCGGUGCAUAAAAUGAUGAUUAUGCGGGCACAAAUAUAUUUCUUAAAUUACUUGUGCAUUGGGUAUUGGGUACAAGGUUUUUAAUCGUGUCUUACAAAUUAUUAGUCCAACGUCGUUGUUAUUGUAUAUAUUUUUAUAUUAUUAUUAUUAUAUUUUAUUUGUACAUUGUGCCUGAAAAACAGUAUGUCUAUCAUAUUCAUACGUAAUAUGUUUUGUGGUUAUGUUUGUAAAACGUAGGUGAGGAGCUCUUCUAAUUACUAUAUACAGUAAUUGAUGGAGCACAAAGCGGUAUAUAGUAGUAUGUUUGUAAGAAAAAAUAAGGGACACUUGGACAACUUUAAUUGGAUGAAGUGGUAUAUGCACAUACCUCUAUUCGGGUUACAUCACAAACAUCUUGAAAUUGAUGAUUAUUACUUGGCAGAUAAGUCAAACACGCAAAGAGGAAUGAAGAUCGAAUUAAUACACAAGUAAGAUAAAAUAAGACUUAAAAAAAAAAAGUCAAGUCAGCACAAAUUCAAAAUAAUUGAAAGUCUUGAAGUAAAUAGCACAAGUUUCUUCAAAAUCCAGUGUAAUAAAUACAAAAGCAUCCAAAAUAUAACUUAGUCUGAAAUUACAUAGUCUGUCUCUGAAUGUGAAAUAAAGACAUGAAAAGAAUAGGAGAAUGUUUAAAAAUCUGCUUUGGACUCUAGGGCGUACAGUACCUCAAAUUAACAACCACAUAGCAAGAUUAGUUGUCGCGUCUCAUACUCGAACUAGGAUCUACAGCGAAUGCCACAGUAAGGAUGAGUGCAGUCUGCUUGUACUCACUGAAAAUAAUACUAGUAAAGGAAUACUAUGAGCACGUCACUUGCAGCGAAAAAGUUUUCAAAUGGUAGCUCACAUUGUGUCCAGAUAGAAAUAAUCUGUCAUGACCUGAACCAGGGCCUGACCAUGACGGGUAUCUCAAGUCCACCGAGGACCAUUGACCACCCCUUUGCCUAGACAAAUAGAAGAUAACACACCUAACAACGGCUUAAAUCCGAACACACAACAAGAUAGAAAGUACUAAGCUCAAAGGCAUCUAAGAGUGUCAACAUAAAUAUCCAAUCCACAGUAAUAUCCACAAAGUCUCUAUAUUAGAAAACAACACACGUCGGGAAGUUCCCUCGACCCUAACAAUGACAAUGUAAAUGCAAAGUCUUUAAUUCUAAUUUAUGGAAGGAAAAAAUGAUGGAAUGAUCAAGUCUUUUGAAGAAUGGAAGAUCACUACUUCACCGCAAUGACCGACUCUGAAAUCACCUAUUACUGCACAGGAAAAGUAGAAGUUCACUUAGCCCCUGCAUCGCGUGGGUAUACGACGUCCGGGGACGGUUAGUGGAGUGGCGCUAGCAUGUAACUCAGGGAUAAGGGUAAAAUAAUAUCAGUCAAAAGUUCAAUUUCAAACUCACUGUACAUGUUCAUAUACAUAUACAUACAUAUAUACAUACAUACAUACAUACAUAUAUAUAAUAGAUGAUGAGGUAGGGAGUAAGGUGUCGCAUGAUAGUAAAACAUUAUCCUAGACGAUGUAUGUAAUGCCCCAAUUUUCAGUCCUUGAAAAUUUUUUUAAAUUUUAUCCUCACUUUCUUGAUUACGACUCCCCUGAUGAGUCGUAGGGAGCUUUGAUGGGUCGUAGGAACUCGAUGGUAACUUAAUAAGAAUAAGUGGCUUAGUAUUCUGCUCUGAGUACAAGUGACACUCAACUAGUCAUCAAAACUUCUUACGGGUCGUAAGGACCAAGUCGCACGGUCUUCAGUAAGUUUGGCCCAAGAUACUAUAUUUAUUAUGAUUUGAGGCCACGAGUCAUAAAGACUAAUGAUGAUUCAUUAGGUCCCAAUCAUAGGGUGUCCAGUGUGUCAUUCUAAAUUGUUCUUUUCUUGAGUACGAGAUAUGGUUAUGAUUCGCGGUAUGAAUCAUAGCCAGAACAGUAUGGGGCCUUGGUGGUCCUGUCUUGACUAUGACUCCUUGUGAUGAGUCGUAAUGAGUCUAUACGAGUCGUAUAGUGAUCCGUAGUCACUUACAAUAAUUUUAAGUCAUUUAAUUAAGGGCACUUUGGAUAUUUUCCCUCUACCUCAAUUGUAACCCAUGAUCUAAAACUCUAUUGGGAACCCCAUUAGCAUCGCUAACUUACUCAAACACCUCCAAAACUCUCUUAAAUUCUCUAAAGCAUCCAUACUUAGGUUUUCCAAGAAAUAGGUCAUCCAAGGGCUCAAGGUUUGAUUCCUUCCGUAAAACUUGGUAUUUCAGGCAUGCUACUCUUCCCUCAUUGUUAAUUUCUUAAAAACAUAUGUUUUAAAGUAUUGUUCAUGAGAUAUUGAUGUUGGUUUUGAAACAAGGGUUGAGGGUUUUGAAUGCUUGUUGUUGAAUAAUAUUUUUUCAUGGUUUACAUAUGAUUAUUCAUGCUUUAAACAUUAUUUUGAAAGUGUAGGUGCAUGGGUAUGGAGAAUGAAGUAGGGAAUUGUGAUUUUUCCCAAACAUGUGACUUUUGAAGUGGGUAUGACUCCAACCCCAUAUUGUGAAAUUAGUUUUAAUUAUGAGAAAUAUGGGAAUUUGAACUAUUCUUGAACUAUUGCAUUAUGAUUUUGAAUUGAACUUUAUGGGGAAUGUAUAAUUCCCUAAGCUAAUGUAAAAUUGAACCAAGGGAGUUAUGAAUUCCUCUAAGUGAUAUAACUAUUUUGGCAUAUUUUUGUUCUUUGCAAGUGUAGUUGGUAUGAUGAUACCAACAAUGUAUGCCUUAAUAUUGAAUAUGAUUUAAUGAAUGGGAAUGUGUGAUAUUUUUUUUUAAAUUGGGCUUAAAAGAGAGUUGUGUAGCUGAGUCAUGAAAGUGGAGCUCCGAGUGACCGAUACUGGAAACUGUGGUUACUGACGCAGGGGUUAAAAUGACCAAAGAGGUUAGACUCCUCCUUAAUAUUAUUAUCACAUGAUUGGAAGGUUCGAGUCACCUACAUUAUAUUACAUGAUUUGGUGUUCGUGUCACCUUGAUAUUCAGGGAGGUUCAAGUCUGCCAUAUUGCAUAUGUAUACCAUCUGGUUCGUGCGGAUACACGCACUAGGGCCCUAGUAGCUAGGGGAGAGUUGGGCCUAUAUAGCCCGUGGGUGCCUCCUUAUCUUAUGAUGGUUGAGCUAAAUGACCUAGGCUAAAGUUUUAAAAGCAUGUUAAAUCUUGUUCUUUUUUCUGGCAAUGUGAUAUGUAUAUAUAUAUGUGUGUGUGUCUGUGUGUAAUACCCCAUGUUUGAAAGUUACUAUGAAAUAUACGACUCAUGUCCUCAAGUCGUACAUAUAGCAUACGAGUCAUAAGUUGUAAGUCACUGCUGUGGCAGUGUGGAGGGUUGAAGUCUGUUGUAGGUACUAUUUGACUAUAGAAAUUGUCAUAGCAUGUUACGAGUCAUAUGAAGUGAAGUCGUAAGUUUAGCAGUAUAAGUUUCCUAAGUUUCUAACUAAGUUACGAGUGAUGGUUUCAAGUUGUGUGAACAAGUAACGUGUCGUAAAGUUACUACUCGUAUGUUGACCAGUGUGUGCUAUCUUUUACACUACCAAGCUACGAGUUACUAGUCCAACACAUAUCCUCACUAUAUGAGUCGUAUGGUUGACUCGUGACGACUAACAGUCAAUUUCUGUAAAUUCAAUUAAGGAGAUUUUUGGUCUUUUCCCUACUUAUAACUCCCAACCCAUGACCUAUACCCAAGAGAGGCAUUAUUUUCCUCAUUUUUAGUCAAUUAACAACAUCUUUUAUCUUCCCAUAUUCAAGAACAACAAGAUUAGGGUUUCACUCACCAAGUCAUCUCUCUCAACUCUCAAAGUUCAAGUUCUCUUCAUAAGUCAAGCAAUUCCAGAUAUGUGGGGUUUUUGAACAAGGUUAAUCUUCCAUCCUUGUGCUCAAAAAGUAUAAUUUUAAGAUUGAAUUCACAUGUUUUACAUUAGGGUUCAUCCCUUAAAUUCUCAUGUAUUGAAGUAUACUAUUAUCUUAUGAUUUUAAGGCUAAAGAUGCAUAAAGGUUACAUCUACUCAUUUUUUGAACUAUAAGAUUGAUCUUGUGAUUUAAGUUUCAUUACUUUGAUUUGGAUUCUGAUGAAAGAUUUCUAUUUAAGUAUUGAACCUGAUAUUUUGUUAUAAGUGUUAUUCAAGAAAGUAAGAGUUCCAAGAUUCAAGAAAAAAUAUUAAGUUUAUAAAUAAAGUUUAAGCCUUUUGAAGUUCCAUUCAUAUACAAUAUAGCAUGAUUCAAGAAAGAUUGAUCUUUUGAUCUAAAGAUAAAACACGAAAUCCACAAAUGGUACACCUUAAUUAUGAUUUAAAGUAAAGGUAAGCAUAACUAGUUUUCAGUCUAUAAACCCUUAUGCUAUUUUAAGGUGGAUUUCUUACGUAUGAGCAUAUAUGUAAUCUAGGAGAAGUAUUUAGCACCAAAAAGGAAAUAUGGAUGAGCAUAUCCAAAAUUCUUGAAAACUACGAGCCACCAUAGGUUAAGCAUUUUCUCUAUAUGGAUGAAAUAUAGUGAUCACUUAAGUUAAGGUUCUAUUUCAAUGGCAAGGGUAGAAUAACUCACCCCAACAUGGAUAAGAUGUUGGACUCCAUCGAAGUUCACAUAGUUUAUGUCGGUUAGAAGAAUCUCCCAUAAGAAGGAAUAAAGGUAAAGAUUUUAGAAACUAAAUGUUAUGGCUCAAUAAGCUUAUUCAUCUGCUCCAUUAGCCAUGUUUUACGAUCUCCUAGUCUCUAUUUUUACUCAAGUCAAAGGUGAGUCAUUUAUGCUUAGCAUGCAUUAUUUGAAUGUUUAUAUAUAUAUAUAUAUAUAUAUAUAUAUAUAUUCUUGUUUUAUUUAUGCGUUCACCCCUCAUACUCAGUACAUUCCAGGAGUACUAACCCACAUAUUUGUCUAUGUACUAUAUUGUCUUAUAAUGUAGGUUCUGGUGCUCGUUUCUAGCAGUGUGACUUACUACGGGCAUCACUUUUUGCAUCCCUACUUUUGGUGAGUCCUCAUAGUCUAAGGACCCAGUUUAUCAGACUCAUGUUUAAGAUUGAAAGUUGUUUUAGAUCUUUGAAUUUCUAUUUAUGUUUGGGUCAACUAGGGUCUAUCCCACUGGCUCUCUAGUCAGUAAUAGAGGCUUGUUAGUCCGUGUAUGUUUUAAGUUCAAAGAGUUUGUUUAAGGUUUCCAAAGUUAAAGAUUUAUAUUAAACUGUAGAAUUAUUUAUCUUCAGUCCAUAUUCAUACAAUAGUUCACUAUUAAUAUGAGUUGUAAGUUGAAUAGACAUCAUAGGUUAACUUAGGGCUAUUCAUAGUCUUGAUCACUGUGUGACAUCCAGGGGGUACUUCCGAGGUGUUACAACAUGUACAUAAUCUGGUUGUGUGCAAUGGGUUUGAAUGAUUUGAAACUUUUGAUCAUAGCAUUAUGUUAUACUUAUCUCCAAGUUACAUGCUAGUGUUGACCCCACUAAACAUCUCCAGAUAUUGUAUCCCCAUGCGAUACAGGCACCGUAGCUGCUUCUACUUUUCCUGUGUAGAGUUAGGUAGAUCAACUUGGUUUGUUAGUUCAUUAUGGUGAAGUAGUGAGCUUCCAUACUUCGAAAGACUUAAACAUUUCAUCAGUUAUUAUCAUAGACUAGAGUUGAGGGUUUUAUUAUCAUUAACAUUAUUAUUUUCAUUUUCAUUGUCAUUUGUCGGAGUAAGGGAUAUGUCCUGACCAAGAUUUUUUUGGUGCUUAUGUUAGAAGUCUUUAUUGAAUUACUGCGGACUUGGGUGGUGUUGGUCGGUUGUUUUUUCCGGUCGAUGGUUGUCGGUUAUAAACAUGAUUUAAACAUUAUCAAGCCUAUUAUUAUGCUAUCUUUUUAUAUAUUCAAAAUUCAUCUGAUAUUGGGGAUAUUAUGUUGUUAGUUAGGUGUUCAAGGGUGAUCUCUGGUCCCUGGUGGACUUGAGAUAACUAUCACGACCAGACCCUGGUUCAGGUCGUGAUAAUGUAGUUCAACUAUCAUAAACUGGCACCCAUAGGCUAUAUCGGUUCAGUUCCCCCUGCUGAAAGGGCCCCAGUUCCUGUUAGCUGCAUGAACCAGAGGUAUCAAGGAAGACUAGGAAAUGCCCCGAUCCCACAUCAAUCUUAGAUAUAAAAUAUAUCAAUAGUAUGAACCAUGCAAACAGUUAUCUAGACCAACCCUCAUGUUGGUAAACGUGAGUUUUCAAUAUAAGUCAUUUGAGACCCAUACCUUCAUGGCUUAGCUACAUAAACCCCAUUAAGACCAAUUAAAACAACUUUCACAUAAUCCCUUAAUUAGCUAAGGAAUAAUACAUUAAGGCACAUCACAGUAUCAUCAUACCAUUUAGCUUGCAAGCUCAUAAUUAUGUUAUUAUAGUUUCAUUAACUUGGCGGAAUGCCUCGGCCCCUUUGUUUAUUAAAUCAAAACAUAGCCAAAAGGCCUUCAAAAUCCAUGUUCAUUGUUUAACCAUUUAUGCAACGCAAUAAAGUAGGUGAGUAAGUCAAACUAAGUGACAAUUCCACAAUUCAAGACAUUUACACAAGUGGGUUGAGGGAAUACAGUUGUUCAAAACCAAGUUCAAAGUUCAAAAUAUCAAUUUGGGGGAUUACGUUGACCCUAUUCCAAUUUCCACACCCAUGCACCCCAUUACAUAAAAAAAGAUUCAAUUUAAAGCAUCAACAACUCAUGAAAACCAUGGGAAAACCAUUCAGAGAUCAACCAUUUCAAAGUGCUCAACCCACAUCAAAACCUACAUUCAAAUCCAUACAAUUAAACUAUUUAAAAUACAUUCCUUUCACAAAAUAAGAUUUGGGGAAGAGUAACAUCACUGAAAGUAUCACAAUGAAGGAGAGAAAUCACCCUUGAGAGCCCCAAUUGACUAACUUCUUAGAAACUCCAAGUGUUCUUAACCUUGGGGAUUUGAGAUAGAUUGGGAAGUUAUUUUGAUUUGUUUCAGAGUGAUAAUGAUACCCUAAAGGGGGUUUUAAGUCUUGGGUCACGAUUGGAGAAGAGGGGAAAUGUCUAAAGUGCCCUUAAUGAAUUACUAAAAAAUUAUCGCCCAGUCACUAUGGGCAAUCUUUGUAGGGUCACCUUACGAUUCGUGAUUUCCAGUCAUAGUCAGGACAACAGUUAUGGUCACCCACACUGGUCUAGCUACAAGUAGUACCAUGCGACUCGCACUCAGAUAUUACGAAUAGUCUGGUCAAUUCGUAUGCAAUACAAAAUAUCUAGGCAUCACACUAGUUUGGCUAUGAGUGGGACUAUACGACUCGUAUAGAGUAUUUAUGACUCGUUAGGAGAUAAUCAUAAUCAUAACAGAAAGUUGGCCAAUCCACACUGGUUAGGAUACGGUUAGGGUCCUAUGACCCAUAAUGACACCGUGUUACUCAUACGGAGAGUUGUAAUCUGAACAAUAAGCCCAUAGGUCAAGAAAUUGUCCAGGAAUAAAAUCCGGUGUGUUACACAAGCAUUCUCAAAGGUACAUAGAAUCUAAUUACACAUCAAGUAACACAUAGAAGGAACACAUGAAAUGCAUAUGCAAGUGCAAUGCAAUAAAUAUUAAAGUAAAUAGCUUGAAAGUAAUCAAAUGACUUUUUGUAUACACCUAUAUAGACUCAAUGCUACAAAAAUAGGAUCCAUAGAGGUUCACAACCAGUACAGUAUCUUAAAAUCUCCACCAAUCUCUAUCUACCCGUCUGGCACAUCCUCGCUCUAGGCAUUUUUAAAAGUGUCUCAUUGUUUCUUAAAAUUAGUGUUCCUCAAUGUUAUUUAUUGUUAAGUUUUCAAGAGGUGUAAAUGAAAAUGAAUAGUUGUUUUUCCAAAAAGACAUCAAGAGAAAGGAUUCAAUUAGAAUAGACACCUUUUCACUUUCUAUGAUUAUGACCUAUUUAAUGGGUAUUAACUUUUCCGAAGAGUUGCACCGUUAUGAGAGGUGCACCUUUCUCAGUAUUGAUUCUUUUGUGAAGCACCAUAUUUUUUCUAUAAAUAUCAGAUUUCUACUCAGAUAUAAAAAUAAGUUUUGAGAAAAAAUAUUCUUCUUCUUGAAAAAAGCUAAGAGUGAUUUGCUGCCAUUGAGUGUCUUCAUAGUUUGACAAAUUCUGAGGUAUACAAUUCAUUUUAUAUUGAGAGGAUAUAUUCCAUAACCUCAGAUACUUGAGGGAAAUAAUUUCCUUAAGGACACACCGUGAAUUCGGUUUACUUGAAUCUUCUAAUCUUAAUUUUUUUUUUGAAAUGUUUGGUUUUGCUAUUUUUCAUAAUAUAGUUUGAAUUUAUUUAUUGUUCUUGGAUUUGUUCUUGAAUUUGUUGUUGAUAUUCAUGUUGUAAAUAUAGAAAUGAAAAGACAACAAUGUUAAGGAAAUUUUUUUUUUUUUUUGCUUCUUUGGUGAAAAAACAUACCACCAUUUAUAAAUCAAAUACUUGGUUAAUCUGUAUUGGGUCUGAUUUAUGGAGACUAAAUUUUUUUGAUUUCUACUCCCUCAGUUAAAAAUAUAUACAAAAUUCAUCGAGAAAUAGGAUUAGAAGAAUAUUAAAACUUUACUGAUUCAUUAAGCUUUAUGUAUUGAUUUCUAGAGAUUAAAACCUAUGAUUUUCUACUUUGCUAAAAUUUAAUUCCUAUUUAAAGAAUAUAAAACCUUUACUAGAGUUCAAAGUUCGUUUGGUCGAUGAUUUGAAGAUAUAAAAACUUCAUCAUUGACUAGAACUAAGUUGAUUAAAGAUUAAGUCCUUGUCAUCAGCAUUCUAAAAUACUAGAGUGUUUGUCAAAGAUCAACAGAAAAAUGAUGAAUGAAACUAAACAAUAAAGUGAUUCGGUAAUGAAUAGGUUGUCCAACAACAAUAAUAUUACAUCAUCAAGAUAUUCAUAUGUUGUUCUAGCAAUGGUAAUGACUAGGAAAUUUAAAACAUUUUCUGGUGCGAACUUCAAAGAAUGACAACAAAUAAUGCUUUUUUGAAUGACAAAAAUUUAAAUGUAAAGGUUCACAAGUAGAGAUCCUUAUGUACAUGAAAAAGGAAUUUUUGAAAACCAAUUGUAUGAUUUAAAAUAUCUUGUAAUUCAUCUCAAGAUAGAAGAGAGCAAUAAGUUGCAUGAUAAAUUAGCAAUGAUGGGUGCAAAUCCUAUUAAAGAUAAUGCUACACAUAAUAAGAUGAUGAAGAAAUCUUCUGGACAAGAGAAAUAGCAGAAUCAGAAAAGUUUCAAAGGCAAGUGCUACUAUUAUAGUAAGUUGGCCACUAACUUCUAAAUUCUCAAGUUUUGAAGAAGAGCAAGAAAAAAAAUUAGAUAAACAUGGCGGAAGCAAUAGAAAAGAUUGAAAACAUGUGUGUUAUUGUAACGACCCAAAAACAAGGGUCAUGAUGGCACUUGUCGGACGAACCUUGGCAAGUAAGCCUAUCACCCAAACUGGUACACAAAAGGGAAAAGGACAAAUAUACCCAAAGGCAAGGUUUCUAGAACAAAGCCAAACCCUAAAAUAUCACAAAUACAGAAAGUAGAUAACCAACGUACCAUACAUUCCCAAAAGCUAGUGUCAAUAGUGUAAAAACAUACCUAAUACAACUCAAAUCCAAAUGAAAUACAUAAGAUAUCCAAAAUACAAGAGAAACUCUAUCUCUGAAAUAAAAGCAAAGGCAUAGUCUAUGGAGAAAAGUAGUAGAAGACAUUCGGAAGCCUGAAAAUCACUCACUACCUUGAAAGCUCUAAUAGUCGUCUAUAUCAACUAAGAUGGGGGCGCACUCUACUAGGAACAACACCAAAAGGGUGAAGUAAGUAUGAGUAUGGUACACUUGUACUCAGUAGGUAUCAUAGGUCGAUCGAUCAAAGUAGAUAAUAAAACAUGAAAAAUACACACAAAGAGACACGUCACCUGCAAAUAUAAAAUGUCCCACAAUGGUAGCCUACACCACUUGCACUAACAGUUCUAUUAUAUACACAUAUAAAAAAACCAUGUAGAGAAGAGAAAAA
rnacentral:lncRNA from 1 species